GUCACCAAUGACGCCAUUUCCAACAAGCUUGUUGUUAAGCCGGAGCUCCCAUUUGGCCACUGGAGAGAGAUUCAAUGGUGCCCGAAUGGAACUGUUAUCAUCGGAAUACAAACCAAAUCUGACCGUGGUAGAAUUGACAAAGCUGGUAUCACCAACUUUGCUGCCAAGUGCGGACGUCCGGAAGUCAGAACUGGAACUGAGACCUGGGCUUGGGGUAUGUACCAUAAGGGCACAAAAUAUAUUUCGAGUUAAAAAAAAUAAAAUUUCCAGAGAAUCUCGAUACUUUUGGCGGUUGGGACAAGGAAAUCAAUUGUCCGGUUGGAGAGGCAAUGUAUAGAUUUAGAGCGAAUAUUGCCAGAGGUCGAGGGCUUUUUAAAUUUACUCACUUCAGCUGCAAUAAGGUUGAAUGACUGUUAAAUCAAAAAAAAACAAUUUCAAAUAAAGAUGUUUCUUCUGGGCAUUUUCAUGUUGUGAUUGUACAAAAUUAAACUAAUAUCUGAUAAUUUUAUAGACUGAUUCCAAAAAUCGAUUUAAAAGAAGUGUGGGCAUUGUUGCUCCUCACAGCUGGAUCUGCUACGUUUCCAAGUUAGUUUUAACAGUUUGAAUGGUAGAGUGAAGUUUUUGAGGAUUCUACCUGAAUAGAUUAAAAUCGGUUUUAAAUGAUCAAACCUUAUAGUGAGACUCAACGAAAAAUAAUAGCAUUUUUGGAUCAGAAUUCGAGAAGAUGCUAGGUAUGAUCAGUGUAAGGCAGAAGUGCGCGGCAAUUGCCAUUCGGCAACAACUGCCGAAAUUCCCGACAACUGCCGAAAUUCCAAAGGUGCUUUUUUGCAUCUGGGUUUCGUGCGCAUUGGCGUUUAUGGCCCCAUCGUUUCUGGGCAUGAUACUCUACGUCAGUCCCCUGGUCUCUCGUAAGUUGAUAUAUUUUUCGUAGAAAAUAUAUCAAAAUUCCUUCUUCAGCACAGCUCACCUUUUCAUCACAAUUUGCAGUUUUACGCGCUGGAUAUUUAAAGAAAUCACUUCAGAAAAUUACGUAAGUUAAUUUUCGUUUGUAACAGUUUUAGGAAUUUUAUAUAUUCAUGGAAUAUGGACCGAGAUUACUCAACUCUUUGUUUUUUACAUUUCAGGAUUAUUACACAACCAACGGCCAAUACACGAACCACUACACCUCCCAGCUCCACAAUAAUUACCAACAAGGAUAUUCCAUAACAUUUUGAAUUGAUUAUUUUGUGGGAUAUAAAUAUAGAUUUGUGAAUAAAAUUUGAUUUUGAUUGAAAAUUGUGCGCUUUUUAAGCUUUUCGACAUAUCUUCCUUCAAUCAACGGCCACAUCAACAUCAUGUCAAAAAACUGACGAUUUUUUUUUUGAAAAAAGUAUUCUACAGUCAAUGCCAUUUCAAAAAGUAAUAGUAAACUUUUUAAACUGGUCGCUGUUGCUGAAGACAUCAUUAGAAAGAAAAACACCCACACACUAGCGACAAUUUAACUUCGGAAGGUUUGUAACGUGUCACAUAAUGAUAUUUUCAAAGUUUAAUAACAUAUUUCGUUCCUAAGAAUAUGGGGAGUAAAACCUAUAGUGCUAAUUUUUUUUGAAUGAUUGCUUCAAAUUUUAUAGACGCGAGAAUCGGUCCCCAUAAUUGUGAACCACCCUGUAUAUAGUAAAUGAUAUCAUAUCAACGCCUUUGUUCUAGAUGUAGACUCCUUCUUCUUCAACUUAUCUUCCCAGGGGAGACCCUUUAAUAUCAUUAUAAAUAUUCACCUCUGGUAUUUUUUUUACUCAGGAUUUAUCUCAAAAAUCUAGUUUAAACCAAUGUUUUCCGGAAUGUUACUCAAAAAUCAGUGAAAAUUAGAAAAUGUCCUCAUUUUAGAUAGCCCUCAUUUACUUUGAAUUCAAAAAUGGCAUUGAAAAAUUAAAAUUUUAAAUAUAAAAGUCUUAAUUUUUGAGAUUUUCGGGCAAAAUCUUGGAUUUUAACUUUUCCAUCAAGAUCUCGAAAUUUAGAAUGCGAAAUUCGAAUUCAGCGGCCAAAUUUACCUCGUCUCCCAGUUUUCUGGACUCCCUACUAGUUGGGUUGGCCAAUUCAAAUGUUAUAAAAAUUUGGGUUGUAAACAAAACUACACAGAAGGUAUUUUGCAGGUUUUCACGGCCACCCAGUACAAUAAAUUUACGAUUAGAUAUUUUGCAUAUCGACUUACUCUUUGUUCGCACUGUGCGACUACAACUACCUGGCAUUUUUGAUUAUCGAUUUGUUUCUGUUUGCAUCUACUACUAACGCUACGAUCAUUUACUUUCUAUUCAUUAUAUCUACCAAUUGCACCUAUCAAUUUUCGAUGGCAAUUUCUAAGUUGUUCUUUGCCUACUUUCAUAAAAAUGUAAGCAGUUUUUUAUUUCAUGAAUACACAAGGUAAUAGUCUUGUUUCAGGAAAAACCAUUUAAAAUGCUUUGUUUGCCGUUGCUUCCAUUAAAAAACGUCAUCAAUCAAAUGAGUUUCGAAUCAGUGUGAGUUUGAAUCAAACUUUACUUGUUAGGUCUGCAAAUAAGUUUUGGGCUUUUUGAGUUAGAAAGAGAAUUUUUUUAGGAAGAGAAUUUUUUUUUAGAAAGAGAAAGUUAUUUUUAGUGAGUAUAAACGUUUUGCAAUUUAGAAUUUCCGCAUUUUCUUAAAGGUGGGGUAGCGAAAUUUAUUACAUUGCUUAAAUAGACUUCAGAGUGUCUCAAAACAUCGAAUUUCCUAACAAGAUUUCUUGAAAAACGUUCAAAAUGUUUUUAUGGUGGUUAAAAUUAAGCUAUUUAAAUUAAGCUAAAAAUUUAAAAUGCGACAAAUUGGUCAGUGUCGUAGCGGCUGAAAAGUACGUUUUUGUAAUUAUGCACAUAAAUACUUAAAUGAUAAAGCAGUUAGUAAGAAAUAUGAGUAAUAGAAGUAAUAAAAAAUAGAAGAAAAUAGAAGAAAUAUAAGUAAGAAGUAAGAAUUAAGUAAGAAGUAAGAAAGAAGUUAGUUAGAAGUAAGAGUUAGUAGCAAAUAGAGGAUUUCACGAAAUAAAAAAAAUCACAUGGUGUUAGGCUGACCCACUACACACGAAUGGUGGGGAAAUAUUUUUUGAAAAAUUGUAACGACACAGCGCACUUCAAAUAUUUAUUUUUCAAAUUAAGCGUCGAUUUUCGUGCAAUUUUUCAUAAACUUUCAAAUUUAUUUUUGUGUUUAUUGAAAUUUUCUUUUUUAUUAUAUUUUGCUUUUCUCCACAAUAUUAUAAAUUAUUAGAAAUGCGCUGUGACGUCACAAAUUUUCGAAAAAUAUUUUCCGCUCUUUCAUGUGCAGUGGAACGAUGGGCUAACCUGACACCACGUGAAAAUAGCAUCUGAAAGCUUGUUUCAGGGCUGUUCAAAACUAUAAGUUAGUUUUGCCCAAGGUACAGGCAAAAAAAGUAUUUUAAGAGACGCAAAACAAAGUUGAACAUCUUGAUCAAACAUGAGGGUGCUUGAAGCUUGUUGCUUGAAAAUUUGGUUUUUGUGGUUGAUUUACACCCUUGAUCCACAUCAAAACAUGUUAGAUGUACAGAACGCGAAUUGCAUAAAACACGAAAUUGUUGUUUCUAUUUUUCUUUAAAGUUUUUAAGAUAAAAAUCGAAUGUUUUUGCAGAUGGAGACUUUCGAAGACAUCGAGGAAAAUGUAUGAAAAGAUUAAAAACGUCAAAAAAAGUAUAUAUAAAAUAGUCAUUGAUAAUCGUUUUGAAUAUAAUAUAAUUUAUCCUCGCUUCAAAACAAGAAUUUUACGUUUUGAAAAAAAGAGUGACUUUGUGUCUGUCUAUAAUGAGAUGGGUACAAACAAGGAAAUAACAGCUUCAGUUUAUCUCAAGUUCAGCGUUGAUUUUUGGAUCGAAUUGUUCUAGUAAGUUUUGUUUAUUUUGAUAAUUUUCGGAUUUCGUUUCAUAGUUUUAUUGCUUUACCGAAUGUUGUAAUGACAAAGAGCGGUUUUCACUACGUGACCUAGAAAAAUCCAGAACUCGACCAAAGAUUUAUCUGCAAGACUAAUUGUCGAUUGGUUUGCUGGAAUGCAAGACUAAUAGAGGAAGUACGGUAACUGUGAUAACUUUUUUCGAAAACGUUAGAAGGGUACAUAUAUUCAAAAAUGUACAACAAAACAUACUUUUUUUCAGCAAGUUAGACAAAAGAGGACCAGGAAAGCUUCGUAGUUCGGUGUACAAGUUAAAUCACUUAAAAAAACGUUUAAAAUACUUAAAUCGUUUUGAUGAACUGUUUUCGAUUAAACACGUGGAUUUGGUAAUUGAUAAAUAUAAACUUUUUGGAGACUCCAUAAGCCAUCCAUUGUUUCAAAAGUGUGACUAUAUGGAGAUAGUAGGAAAUACUUCAUAUAUCUCAAAUAAUGAAAUGAAUUUUGUAUUGAACAAUUUCAAACUGAAAAAUGGACUGCUUACUAAUUGUUUGAUUGCCGAAGAUUUCGAUGUGACAGCUGUAAGUUUAUAAACUAGUUUCAUAUAUGGUACGAAAAGUAGUGUGUAUUUUUUUUGGUGCAUUCUGCAAGUUUAAAAAAGGACUAACGGUUUAGACGAUUUUGAACGUAUAGUCUCAAAAUGGGCUCAAAUGAACGAAUUUCGUAAUGAAACGUCUCAAAAAUGUUUCAAAAAAUUUUAUAUAACGGUUCAAAAUUUCAAAAAAAAAAAAAAUUACACUGAUUUUAGCUGAAAUCUCGAUUUUUGGCCACUUUUAAAUGUCAAUUCUGUCCGAAGAUAACCUUUAACUUUUUUGGAAUUAUCUUCCCCUAUAAUUUCUAUUAUAAUUUCGUUGAUUAGGGUCAUUUUUCAACCGAUAGGUAACUAAAAGUAAUCGAAAUAGGUUAUCUUUCGGUUUCAAAUGUACUUUAAUCAACAAAAUUAAAUGAGAUAAACUACCAGAAAACGCAAUAAAAGACGAUAAUUCCAAAAACUCCACUACAAACAGAUGUGGCACGGAAAAGUGCCCGAAAUUUGAGAUUUCAGCAAAAAUCAGUAAAUGUUUUUUUCUUGAAACCGCCUUAAAAAAUUUUUGAAAAAUUUUUGAACCUUGUUAACGAAGUAUUCACUCUAGUCAAAAAACAAAAACAAGAUGUCUUCAGUUGAAAAUGUUUCUUGUAGAUGCAGCAGAUUCCUCGUUUGGUUAUUUUCAACGCACAACAUAUCACAGUAGAAGAUUUAAUAAAAAUGGAUUGUGAAACUAUCAAAUUGUGUUAUCAUCAAUUCAAACCACGACAUAUCAAUCAGUUACUUCAUCAUUGGUUGUCGGGAGAAAUGCCCAAGUUACGAAGAUUCCGUUUGAACUUCUAUUGUGAUACUACGUGGAUCGGUGUAGUUUUAUCUGGAAUAGAACAUUCGAAAUGGGAUGGGCAACGCCGAGCAAAGUUUUUUCGGUUAGUUGAUGACAAAACCCAUUAUUUUUAUUUAAAAAAAAUAUGAGGGACCAAAUUUCUCUUUAAUUGACUGGCUUCUGGCAUUUUCGAAUUUUUUUUCACUCAAAAAACUCCCGUGUAUUGGCGCAAAUACAUGAAGCACAUACACAGAGAGACUUUGCAAACAGAAAAAAUUCGACCAUAAACAAAAAAACCAGCUUCUAUUUGUUUUCAUCCUUCCUACUGAAACUUGAAAUUUUUGAAAAACUGUUGUAUUUGUUUCAUUUUGGUCCAAACAAACCAAAUUUUCAAAAAGUCAAUUUCGCAAAAAAAAAAAAGAAACAAAAACAAACAGGCAGUCCUAGUGCCAAAUGGUCUUGGGAUUACUAUAAUUGUAUUGUUGUGGUUCGGUAGAUAUGCUUUAGGAUUACUGUAUUUUAAGUAAAAGCUAAAAAUCCAAUUUAACCUAUAUAUUUUCAGCGAUGGAAUUGAGUCGAUUGACUGUGGAAAUGGAUUUGAUAUAGAACGCAACGAUGGACUUCUUGCAACGUUUUCUAGCUUAGAAGACUCGAUUGAUUUCGUUGUAUGGGGCAAUAUAUCUGCUCUGUAGUACAUUACAAAUAAUAUUUAAUAACGUUUAAGGGGAAGUAGCUAACUUUGUUUUAUUGCUUAAUCUAAACCUCAAAUUGUUUUGAAAGGCAAUUUUUUAAUUAUGAUACUUCAAAAAGAAAAUUUCUCGAAAAUUGUUUUAUGAUGGUUCAAUGUGCCAAAUUUAGCAAACAAUAAAAUUUUAAGUUGUUCGGUUCGGAGCCUUUAUUUUUUGUUUCUGUUGUUGUUUAUGACUACGCAAGCGAAGAUGAUGAAGUUGAAGUGGAGUACAGAAGAUGCGACGAGUUCCCAUAUAAAAUCGGUUUCUGGAUCGACGACACUACCGCCAUUUCCGCUGAAGCUGAGAGAGAUGAUGAUACUCGUUUUGCCGUUUGGAUUUCGGUUUACAGAGAACCUAUUCUAUACGGACUAUUCGAAAACUAUUUUGAGUAGUCAAUAUAAAUAUUGAUUUUUCACACACAGUUUACAAGCGGCCAAAGUUUUAGAAAAGUAGAUUGAUUAUUUUAUAAUAUAGGGAAUAAAGUUGGUGCUGUUAUAUGUUUUUGUUGAAUCUGUUCAUGGAACGUGUGCUCAGAAAAGCAAAAAAUUCAUAAAAUUGGAAUUAUUCCGCGGAGGGGACAGGUACACCUGGAUACACCUAGAAACAAGUUUUCAGAGUCUGAUUUUGCUUGAAAUGUAUACGCUUGCUUAGUCAAUUCAAGGAAAACGGUGGGACACCAAAUUAAUGGCUAAUUCAAGAAAAUCUACUUUUUUGCACUUUGGAAGGGACAUUAAAAAUAAAACCAAUUUCUGAAUGUAAAUUUAUUCACAACGUUAUGGGUUUCAAUUGAGUAUUUAGUUGUUCCGUAGAACAAUUCGAGAAAAUUGGCAAGUUGAAAAAUAUUUAUCCAAUUUGUGAAAAGAGCUCCAGUGUUUUUAAUAUUAUCUGAAAAUCUAGAUUAGAAAUAACUUACACAAUUAAAAAAUUAUGCAUUGUAAUUAUGAGGAAAUGUCUCUUAAAAUCCCGAAAAAAACUGAUCGAUCGGGCUGCAGAAGUUGAAUACCUCAACUCUCUUUAGUUAAUCAAAAGGCCACGUUCUCAGAAUGACAAUGAGUAUAUAAGAUAGCCAAUUCAUUUAAAAAAUCAUUUCAACCUUCCCAACCUUGCCGUCGGUCUUCCAUGCACCUGCUGCUGAUUGCUCUCGCCCUGCUUUCAACUGCCGGUGCGGAGUAUGUCCACUAUCCUUCAAACGGAUGCACUCGUCACAACGUGAUGAACGGGUUCCAGCUCAAAUUUGAAGGACCGCAAGGGAUCUUUAAGAACGAUCAUGGUGUUGUCUCAAUCAGCUUCUUCUGUAAUCCACCAGACGGAG
rnacentral:sRNA from 1 species